rnacentral:rRNA from 1 species
AAGGGCACCACAAGAACGCGUGGAGCAUGUGGCUUAAUUUGACUCAACGCGGGAAAUCUUACCGGGUCCGGACACACUGAGGAUUGACAGGUAACAUCUCUCUAUAUGUUCGCAUAUAGUGAGUAUAAAUAUGCUAGUCCUUUCAUGAUUAUGUGAUAGGUGGUGCAUGGCCGUUCUUAGUCCGUGGAGUGAUCUGUCUGCUUAAUUGCGUUUCACUAUUGGGUCUAUAUAUACGUAUAUGUGUUGCGGCUUUGACCCCUCUCUAUAUCUCACGAUAUACUGAGUGCGCGUCUUACGCUUUGCUCACUAUACCUUAGACCCUGAAAGCAACGAACGUGACCGCAACCUCUUGUUGCUUUCAUCACACAUGCGUAAUAUAUAUAUCUCGCUUCGGCGUAUAUUUUGUUAUGCUACGAAAGCUUGUCAUUCGUGACUACAUAAACUAGAGGGACCGCUGUUACUUUCUUAAACCAGAGGAAGGUUGCGGCAAUAGCAGGUCUGUGAUACCCUUAGAUGUUCCGGGCUGCACACGUGCUACAAUGAUUAUUGCAGUGAGCAUCUCAUUUUAUUACUACACCGCACGUGCGAGUCUAUAUUUAUUUCAUUGCGCUUCGGCCGUUGUUAUAAAUAUCUAGAUCUCUGCACGCGGUAAAGCCUACUUCGAAAGUAAGCGGGUAAUCAAUUAGAAGUAAUGAUUUCCUACAUACACACGAUUUCGAUCGUAUACUGCGCACAUACAUGCGGCGUAUAUACCCGGCAUACCUUGUUGUAUGUUCUUUGUGCGUAUAUAUGUAUUUUUCCGCAUGCGCAAUUGUCAAUUCAUGGUGGGGACAGACCAUUGUUUCAAUUGUUGGUCUCGGUCUUAACUAGGAAUGCCUUGUACGGGUCCUUGGUUCAACAAACCACCCGGAAUACGUCCCUGCCCUUUGUACACACCGCCCGUCGCUCUUACCGAUGGACUUCUCUGUGAGUUUGAGGGACUGUACUUUCACACUAUCACUAGUGUGAAUAUUAGGAAACUUAAACGAACAGUGUGGUCUAAAGGAAAGAGAAGUCGUAACAAGGCAUCAGUAGGUGAACCUGCAGAAGGAUCA